CUAUGGCUUAAAAAUUAGUCAUGGCGGAAGGAG
rnacentral:ncRNA from 1 species